UUGUCCUACGGGGGGCAGCAGUGGGGGAUAUUGCACAAUGGGGGAAACCCUGAUGCAGCGACGCCGCGUGGGUGAAGAAGCGCCUCGGCGCGUAAAGCCCUGUCAGCAGGGAAGAAAAUGACGGUACCUGAAGAAGAAGCCCCGGCUAACUACGUGCCAGCAGCCGCGGUAAUACGUAGGGGGCAAGCGUUAUCCGGAUUUACUGGGUGUAAAGGGGGCGCAGACGGCGAUGCAAGCCAGGAGUGAAAGCCCGGGGCCCAACCCCCGGACUGCUUUGGAAACUGUAUAGCUGGAGUGCAGGAGAG
rnacentral:rRNA from 1 species